GACGAACGCUGGCGGCGUGCUUAACACAUGCAAGUCGAACGCUGAGGCUCAGCUUGCUGGGUGGAUGAGUGGCGAACGGGUGAGUAACACGUGAGUAACCUGCCCCCUUCUUUGGGAUAACGCCCGGAAACGGGUGCUAAUACUGGAUAUUCACUGAUCUUAGCCUGGGGGUUGGUGGAAAGGUUUCGUCUGGUGGGGGAUGGGGUCGCGGCCUAUCAGCUCGUUGGUGGGGUGCUGGCCUACCAAGGCUUUGACGGGUAGCCGGCCUGAGAGGGUGACCGGUCACAUUGAGACGGACAUACGGCCCACGCGCCUACGGGGGGCGGCAUUUGGGACAAUUGCACAAUGCGUGACAGAGUAAUGCCGCGUCGGUGCGGGAGGUCUGGGGGCCGUCGGGUUGUGAUCCUCUUGCGCUCAUGGUCAAGCCGCAACAUUGGUUGUGGUGAGGGUAGUGGGUAAAGAAGCGCCGGCUAACUACGUG
rnacentral:rRNA from 1 species